rnacentral:rRNA from 1 species
UACGUAGGGGGCAAGCGUUAUCCGGAUUUACUGGGUGUAAAGGGAGCGCAGACGGCAGUGCAAGUCUGAUGUGAAAGCCCGGGGCUCAACCCCGGAACUGCAUUGGAAACUGUACAGCUUGAGUGUCGGAGAGGUAAGCGGAAUUCCUAGUGUAGCGGUGAAAUGCGUAGAUAUCGGGAGGAACACCGGUGGCGAAGGCGGCUUUCUGGCCAGUUACUGACGCUCAUUCGCGAAAGCUGGGGUAGCGAACCGGAUUAGAUACCCCUGUAGUCCCU